GGGAAUUCAAGAUAAAGAAUUAAAUGAAAAUAUUCUAAUUGAAUGGGGAAGUAGAAAUAAUUUAUUAGUGUAUCAUGCACCCACCCAUUCAGAACUAGAUCCAAAUGAUAGUCCUGUUUUGCAGAAUACAUCAACAUAUAAUUCCAUUACAAGAAAAUUAGUGAAUGAAUCACAUGGUCUCUUUUUAAAUUUACAAGUUCUCUCUCAGCAAGAAAGUAACAAUGAAAAGAAAGAACA